CAUAAAGUAUUGCAUUAAGAUUUCCUCCCCUCUCUUUGUAGCUCAUGAUUUCCUGGAAGCUGGCUGUCCAUCAGGGUGUGUGUAAGAUGUGACGCUUGUGUUCCCCUGUGACUGAUUUGGUAUUAUGGAGAUGGGAUUUUAUAUAUGACCAAGAGCUGAAGAAUUGUGGCGAGUUAAAAAAUAAGCAACACAAAUAUCAAGAGAAUGUUAAGCGUUCAUAAUGGAGCUACUGACUAUUGGAAGGAGGAGAUUCUGAAGAUAGGGAG